UGGGGAAUAUUGCACAAUGGGCGCAAGCCUGAUGCAGCAACGCCGCGUGAACGAUGAAGGUCUUCGGAUCGUAAAGUUCUGUUGCAGGGGAAGAUAAUGACGGUACCCUGUGAGGAAGCCCCGGCUAACUUCGUGCCAGCAGCCGCGGUAAUACGAAGGGGGCUAGCGUUGUUCGGAUUUACUGGGCGUAAAGCGCACGUAGGCGGACUUUUAAGUCAGGGGUGAAAUCCCGGGGCUCAACCCCGGAACUGCCUUUGAUACUGGAAGUCUUGAGUAUGGUAGAGGUGAGUGGAAUUCCGAGUGUAGAGGUGAAAUUCGUAGAUAUUCGGAGGAACACCAGUGGCGAAGGCGGCUCACUGGACCAUUACUGACGCUGAGGUGCGAAAGCGUGGGGAGCAAACAGG
rnacentral:rRNA from 1 species